CUCCUGUGUCACUCCAGAGCCUUCCACUGUUCUCCAGUUCUAUCUGCUUUAUCCCCUGGCCCUCACCUGUAACAGCACAAACUGACAAAUAAUGGACCAGGCCGAUGAAUUACUCCAGCUGAUUCAGUAUUUAGUAUGGUUUUAGGACUUGUAGCUGAGUCCCACUUAAGUGGUUCUCACAGUGUAACAGUGUAACUACCUGCCUACUAGCCUCUUGUCAGCUCCAGUGUCGGCUAGUCACCAGGCUGCUUGUUUCCAGUCAGCUCCAGUGUUUUCUAGCCGUCAGCCGGCAAACCUCCCACCAGCUCCAGGGCCCACUGGUCUCCAGCGUACGACUGUUGACACCUUAGACCAGCCCCAAGUGUCUCCUUUCUGGGGAAACCGCCUCGCCUACAGGGUGCCUCCGCGAAGACCACAUCCUGACUCCCUGACAUCUGGCUGCCUCGUCUACUUUUCUUCACUGCUGCCCAGGUGCUAGCCUUCGCCACUGCCCAGUGCCCAAGAGCAAGCCAACACCUGCCAGUGGUCCUCUGUUGGUUUGGUGUAAAUUUGGUAUUAGUAUCUUAUAAUUUUGACACCCUUGACUAUGUUCAUAUUUUCCAACCUGUUUCAAUUCCUGUCCAAAAUGUAUUUCCAUAGCUAUCGACUGCUAAUGUUAAUGUUAAAAAUACCUCUGCUCAACCAGAUAUGGACACGUUGCUGUUUUCUCUGCUCUCAGUGCAUCAGCUGUAAAUGGCCUAUCACAGGGAGGAACGCUAAAAGACCUGCAGGCCAGAGGUGCUUUCCACACUUUAAGCAAAUCAACAAACCUAAAAACACAUCAGGGUAAACAACACCUUUCCCAGCACUGUCCUGCUGUAUAGAGAGGGGCUAAUGACAUGUCUACACCAUGAUGAUGCCUGUUCUUCACAGCAUGGCUCAGUGCAAGUACCUGGCUGGGAGGAACGUAUACUUGAUUGACUUUAAUCUCAUUACACACCAGUGUAUAUAAAUGUUUUUAUCAUUUGACGGCAGCACCAUUUCAGUGCUUCACUAGGGUAUGUUUUAUGUGCUUGCAAUAUUAAUAAAAAUCACUGCAUACUUUGGAUAAAACAACUUCAA